rnacentral:rRNA from 1 species
AUUGAACGCUGGCGGCAUGCUUUACACAUGCAAGUCGAACGGUAACAGGGUGCUUGCACCGCUGACGAGUGGCGAACGGGUGAGUAAUGCGUCGGAACGUGCCGAGUAGUGGGGGAUAACGCAGCGAAAGUUGUGCUAAUACCGCAUACGUACUGAGGUAGAAAGUGGGGGACCUUCGGGCCUCACGCUACUCGAGCGGCCGACGUCUGAUUAGCUAGUAGGUGAGGUAAAGGCUCACCUAGGCGACGAUCAGUAGCGGGUCUGAGAGGAUGAUCCGCCACACUGGAACUGAGACACGGUCCAGACUCCUACGGGAGGCAGCAGUGGGGAAUAUUGCACAAUGGGCGCAAGCCUGAUGCAGCCAUGCCGCGUGUAUGAAGAAGGCCUUCGGGUUGUAAAGUACUUUCAGCGGGGAGGAAGGCGGUGCGGUUAAUAACCGUACCGAUUGACGUUACCCGCAGAAGAAGCACCGGCUAACUCCGUGCCAGCCGCCGCUGUAA